rnacentral:tRNA from 1 species
CGAGAGGUGUUUGAAAACACUAGGAACUGCUAAUUCCAAGCCCUAAAGUUAAACUCUUUAGACCUCUCACUUUUAAA